AAUAAAUAAUCAUACACAAAAACUGUGAAGGCAGCGUAUGUAUAAUUAAAACUUAGAGGCCACUAAGAUGUGGCACUGUGCCCACUCUCGAAGGAGUUUAUAGAAAUAGCAGGUGCCAUUCACACGGGACCUGGGUGCCAGGCUCAGCACGCCCUGCGCCUCCUGACAACAGCCCCGUGCAGAAGACCCCCAUGCUGCAGGAGAAACUAAGAGGGACCACAGGGCAGGACCAGCCGGGAUCAAAUCCCCUCCCCGACACUUGCUGCCAUGCGACCUUCACAGGGCCCACUGCCCAUCUGUAAGGUGGGAAGUGCAGUCUCCAGGAUUACUUGAAGGAUUACACAGAUAAGAUUGAUAUUUUUAAAAAUGUAUUCAUUCCACAAACAUCUAUUGAGGACUCACCACGUUCCUGACUCUGGUCACGAGAUCAACUGUCACACGUCAAAGCCCGCAGCACCCAAAAAAAUGUUCAUUCAGAGCGAACCUCAUUGAGAGUUAACCAGACCCCAGCAGCCAUCCAGAUCCUGGGUUCCCCUCUCCUGGUCUCCCUGGGGAGCCAUCUCGGUCUCUGCUUCCAGGCUCUGCCCCAUCUGGAGGACUGGCUCCCCUUAGGGAUGCCGCUGAGUUCACCUCUUUUCAGAGCAGCAAGGUGUCUUGGGAAGCCCAGGUUUGUUGCCAAGGCUGCUCUCCAGCAGCGGACUGGAGAGCACUGUGCCUCAUCUCCUUCCCAUCCAGCAGUGACAGAGGGGAAGACAGGGUGACAUCAGAAAUAAGAGCUAAAGCAGAAAGACCAGGCUUAAAGUUUCGGCUUUCCCUCCUAGUAGUUGCUCAACAUUAGGCUGAUAACUUUCUGUUUCUACACCUCAGAUUCUUCACUUUGAAGUAGAAAAUGGAGACACUUCCUUCUUGGAGAUUCCUUUCCCAUAGCAUCUGUCUCAACCCUUACUCCCCUUUGGCACAGGUCCAGGCCAUGGAGUGGCCCUGGGGGCUUCUGGGAGAAAGGGACAGGGUGGGGCAUCAGUAGAUAUCGAGUGGAUGCACAGUGGUACCUUGGUUCACCAACUUGAUUUUUUCCACAAUUCUGGUCACAAACCAAGUUGGACAAGAACCAAAUCAAAUUCAGUGGCUAGGUUCCAUGUUGACCUCACAGGGAAAUUUGAUUCAGUUUUCAUCCAGUUCAGUUUGCAAUCUGAAUCGUAGAGAGAAUUGAGUUUGUGAACCGAGGUACUGCUGUAUCUUUUAGAACAGUCAGUGGUCUUCAGAAAAUCAUAAAUUGCUGAGGAUGUGGAGAAAUUGGAGUCCUAUGUACUGCUGGGAAGGCACAAUUGUGCCCUCACCAUGGAAGACGGUACGGUGAGUGCUUAAAAAGUGAACUGUAGAGUUACCACAUGAUCUUGCAAUUCCCACUUCUAGAUAUGUGAUCAAAUAAACUGAAAGAGUCUCAAUGGCCCUUUGUCUCCCCGUAUACAUGAUGGCUUCAGUCACAAGAGCUAAACCAUGGAAGCGACUCAGAUCAUCCGGGAAGAGUGCAUAAACCAAAUGAGGUCUUUCAUACCAUUGAAUACUAUUCAGCCUUAGAAAGAAAGGAAACUCUAACAUGCACAACAUAGAUGACCCUUGAGGACUUAUGCUAUGAGAAAUAAGCCACUCACAACAGGACAACAUAGUGCACAAUUCCACUUACAUGAAUUAUUUGGAGUAGCCAAAUGGAUUUGAACUAAAAGAGAGAGGUGUCAGGGCCUGGGUGAGGGACACGAAGAGCUGACGUUUAAUGAGUGUGGAGCUCCAGUCUGGGAAGAUGAAAAAGUUCUGGAGGGUACUUUAUGCCCUGAAACGUGCCUUUAAAAGUGGUUAAGAUGGUAAAUUUUAUAUUAUGUAUAUUUUCCACAGAAAAGAAUCAAUGUUUUCGUCCUUCCUGUCUCCAAGAAACUCCAAGUGUUGAUAUUAGCAUAGGAAAUAGUAGGGCUGGAGCAGAGUGGGCCAGGGGUGGAUGGAUGGGGGGUGAGGCAGGAGUAGGAGGAAAGGCAGCGGCCACGGAAGGUCCCACGUGGGAGUGGCCAUAGCUAGAAAAGCCGGGGAAGGUUCGUGUGCAGUGUCAGAGCUCAGAGGGCACAGGCCAUCCUGCGGAAAAGGCGGCAACAGGGAGAGGGAACAGCAUGGCAACGAAGUGAACCUGGACACCGGCCAGGGGGACCGGGGCUGCCUGAGGCCUGCACCCUCUGGGCCUGUACCAACUGUCACAGGAGUGGGGGCCCGGACCCCUGGGGACCCCGCACAGCAGCCUGAGAAAGAGGAAAACCACCAGAAAAUAUUAAAAGGGACGUACCAGCUUCGAAAGGUUACAUUUGUCCUUCUUCCUCCAUUCUAGUAACAAAAUCUGUGGUCAUUGGAGAAAUUUAAAAAAUCACAAACAGUAAAAAAAAAUACACAAGAAAAUUAAAAAUCCCCAUGUAGCCUCACCCCUCAGGGAUAAAAUUUAUACUGCUGACUGGUCUUUUUAAACUACUUUAGGUACAAAUUCCAUAUCAUUUUAAAAAACAUAUAUCACAUUGUUUUAAAAGCUUUUUCAUGUAACAAAUUAACAACCAUUUCCCCCGUGCCAUAAAAUCAUGUAAUACACAGUUUUAAAAUAGUCUACAACAGUUCAUCCUAGAGAUGGACCAUCACUUAGCCAGAACCCCAACGGAAAUAGACACAAAAGACCUAUUAAAGUUCACCAAUUCCAUUCUUACUGAGUGUCUCUUCUGGGCCAAACUGUCGCUGUCCUAGGUGUAUAAUGCCAAAUCCAGUUUAGAGUAGGGAGGAAAAAUUAAUACGCAAGCAGUUACAACCAGAGUUACAGACACAGUAGGUACACAUCUUAGUCCAUACCUGCUAUGAUUUGUGUCCCCAAAGGCCCAUAUGUUUAAAGACUUGGUCCCUAGGCUGUGGUACCAUUGGGAGGUGGUGGUAGCUUUAAGAGGUGGGGCUUCGUGGGAGGAAGUGAGGCUAUUGGGGGUGUGUCCUGAAGAUAUUGUGGGAUCCUGCCCCACCUCUCUCUGCCCAGCCUCCUCCACCACAUGUCUGGUCAUGUUGUGCUUGCUGGCCACAGGCCCAAAGCAUAGGCCAGUCAGUCAGCCAUGGAAACCUCUGAAACACCGAGGUUUGUCUCAGCUCUUUUGUCACAGCAACAGAAAGCUGGCUAAUAGCUGAAGCUUUCAAGAAAUAUAAUUCGUAUUAUCUUUAGCAAUAUCAUUUUUAUUCUAAGCUCUUACUCUCCUAGGGUGGUAGAAACUCAAGUUCAGUUCACUUUGGACACCUCCCCUUCCCUUGAGUUGAGACUCAGCUUGGCUCAGCUCCAUAGUGCUGGGGGUGUGUGUGGAAGCAUGUGUGUGUUUGUGUGUGCGCAUGCUGGUCCGUGGGGAGGGUGGCCCACUCCCCCACGUCUGUUCACACCCAUCCUGGGGCACCCAUCCCUGCUUACAGUCAUCAGUCCAUAAGGCAGCCAUGGGGUCACCCUCCAGUCCCGUGCUCCGCCCCUGCAUAACUGGAGCUUUCAGCACCACUGUCACCCAAGCCUCUUCCAGGAUCCAGAAGAUGAUUCUCCUUUUAAGGGGCUGCUGGAGUCUGAGUACUCAUUUCUUCUGGGGCUCACUUCUCAUCCCACUUCUGAGCAUCUUUCUCUAGCCUGGGGUAGGAGGCCAGGAGGGCUGAAAGGCUUUACCUUUCUCAAAUUCCCUGCUGGUUUUACACCUGGGUCCCAAAGGCUCAGCUGUGUGCGGAGGGAAGAGAGUGGGGAAACUGUCUCAAUGCCUCACUCAGAAAUGUCAUCCCUCACAGAACCGAGCAGAGGGUAACAAGAGCAGAGAGGAAAUGCUUCCAGGAGAGGGCUCCCACCUCAAAGCUCCUGGGGAGUGGGUGGCUUGCAGAGGAAGAUGCCCAGGGAGGGGAGCAGGGCCUUUGAGGACUUUCUGAGUAGAGCCAUUUGCCUACUCCUGGUCAGGUUGGGGACAGCAAGGACCACUGAGGAGCCCUGGAUGUUCUCAAGCAACCUACAGUCCCUAAAUGGACAUUGACUCAGAAGGUACCCAUCUGCCUAGGUUAAUUUACGUACAGCCCAUCCUAGAAAAAGUGAGAUAUCACAACCGACCCUAUAGGUCUUUCUGAAGAGAUAAUAUACCAUUCACUAUUUUUCCUGCACAGAUGAGUAUUGCUGGACACUAAUGUGUGUACUUGUCUUUGUUAACUGCUGCUUUUAGCAGAGUGAAUCCAAAACAGUCACACUUGCUCUGUAAAGAAAGGUUCAACUUCCUGGUGCCCGAAGGAGGUGUAAAAUGAUUUAAGGGCAAGCCCAGUGACUCAAAAUGUCUUUGAAACACUCAUUUAGAUACAAGCAGUUGAUAGAUUAUUUGAAAAAACAAUCUUGCCUAUGUAUACUGACUUGAGCUAUCCAUGUGUGGAGCAAAGAGAGCCCUGAGAAGCAGUGUGAUCAUUGUGCUUUUCCAUUUUUCUAUUUGCUUAUCACUUAGCCAAUUCAACAAUCAUUCUAAUAUGUUGGGGGUCCCAGACCCAACCUGUGACUUUUCUGACAGCUCCCUGGAGCCUUCAGCUGAAGGAUUUAGACACCCAGGCUGCAGCCCUGCACGCUGACAGUCUUCUGUGAGACUGAAAGUCGAUGGGUCCAGGAAGGACCAUGCCAUGAUAAUAUACCCCCGAUACUCUGCAUCUAUAAGAUGUAUAAAUCACGGCAUUCACGGGACACGUUGGUUCCCCGAGGCACCCACGCUGCAUGGUGGAUGAGCCAAGUCACCCCUCCUGGGUGCAGGCCUCUAGAAGGGUGAGGUAAGUGUGUGCCUGCAGGCAAAGCUAAAGUCUUCUUGCGGACACUUCUGGCGGGGGGGGAUUUGUGUUGGAGAAAAACAGCUGCCUUUUAUUUCUUCCUCUUCUAGACUGCUUUCAUUUACUAUAGCCAAUAUAGUCAAUAUGCAAUAUUUUAGUUUUUUUAAAUCCUUUUUUAAAAAUAAAAGAAUUGACAUUC